rnacentral:rRNA from 1 species
UAGCAGCCGCGGGAAUACAGAGGGUGCGAGCGUUAAUCAGAUUUACUGGGCGUAAAGCGUGCGUAGGCGGCUUUUUAAGUCGGAUGUGAAAUCCCUGAGCUUAACUUAGGAAUUGCAUUCGAUACUGGGAAGCUAGAGUAUGGGAGAGGAUGGUAGAAUUCCAGGUGUAGCGGUGAAAUGCGUAGAGAUCUGGAGGAAUACCGAUGGCGAAGGCAGCCAUCUGGCCUAAUACUGACGCUGAGGUACGAAAGCAUGGGGAGCAAACAGGAUUAGAUACCCCUGUAGUCCCUGUCUCUUAUAC